rnacentral:rRNA from 1 species
AUGUGCCGGAACUUGACUACUAUCUCUUCUAACUUCUGGUGGGGAUCAACUCAUGAUGAGAACAAGGUUCAUUGGAUAGCUUGGGGUAAAAUGUGCCUUCCAAAACGAGAUGAUGGUAUGGGCUUCCGGAAUUUUGAGGCUUUCAAUCAAGCGUUGUUAGCUAAGCAAGCGUGGAGGCUUCUGAAAGAGCCUGACUCACUUGUAGGCAGGCUUCUGCGGGCAUGGUACUAUAAGGACUCCUCUAUCAUGCAGGCUACGUGUCCCUCAAAUGGAUCAUACACUUUUCGGAGUAUCCUUUAUGGACAUGACCUGCUGAAGGAGGGGCUGGUUUGGCGUGUUGGAGAUGGGGCUGACAUCUUAAUCCAUCAUGAUAACUGGAUCCCUCGCAAGGGCUCAAUGCGGCCUCUAGGACAAAUUUUUAUGCAUGGAAUCACUAGGGUGGCAAAUCUGCUCACGGAAGACGGUGAUAGCUGGGAUCAUGCAACUAUUGAUGCAAUGUUUACUGCAGAUGAGAUGAUGCAGAGGAUAUUAAGCAAAUCCCGGUGGGUGGGCAUGGGGCUCAUGAUCUCCUAG